rnacentral:rRNA from 1 species
GCUCUAGUAUAUGCGAUCUAUACUGUGAGACUGCGAAUGGCUCAUUAAAUCAGUUAUCGUUUAUUUGAUAGUACCUUACUACAUGGAUACCUGUGGUAAUUCUAGAGCUAAUACAUGCUAAAAACCCCGACUUCGGGAGGGGUGUAUUUAUUAAAUAAAAAACCAAUGCCCCUCGGGGCUCCUUGGUGAUUCAUAAUAACUUAACGAAUCGCAUGGCCUUGCGCCGGCGAUGGUUCAUUCAAAUUUCUGCCCUAUCAACUUUCGAUGGUAGGAUAGUGGCCUACCAUGGUGGCAACGGGUAACGGGGAAUUAGGGUUCGAUUCCGGAGAGGGAGCCUGAGAAACGGCUACCACAUCCAAGGAAGGCAGCAGGCGCGCAAAUUACCCAAUCCCGACACGGGGAGGUAGUGACAAUAAAUACUGAUACGGGGCUCUUUUGGGUCUCGUAAUUGGAAUGAGAACAAUUUAAAUCCCUUAACGAGGAACAAUUGGAGGGCAAGUCUGGUGCCAGCAGCCGCGGUAAUUCCAGCUCCAAUAGCGUAUAUUAAAGUUGUUGCAGUUAAAAAGCUCGUAGUUGAACCUUGGGUCUGGCUGGCCGGUCCGCCUCACCGCGAGUACUGGUCCGGCUGGACCUUUCCUUCUGGGGAACCCCAUGGCCUUCACUGGCUGUGGGGGGGAACCAGGACUUUUACUGUGAAAAAAUUAGAGUGUUCAAAGCAGCCUUUGCUCGGAUACAUUAGCAUGGAAUAAUAGAAUAGGACGUGCGGGUUCUAUUUUGUUGGUUUCUAUGACCGCCGUAAUGAUUAAUAGGGAUAGUCGGGGGCGUCAGUAUUCAGCUGUCAGAGGUGACAUUCUUGGCAUUUGCUGAGA